CGUCCCAGGCGGAAUGGAUAUUUAGCCGAAAGGAAAGGUGGCCUAUGGAACUAAUUGGAUCUUGUCAACAUUCAAACUGUGAAGUAAACGAAAAGUGUAAAAGAGGAUCGUUCACUUCUCAUAAAUGUGAAUUGGCUCAGUGCCAUCCUCUAAAUUUAAGUCUUGCGCGCAACACAAAAC